AGGUUCUCCAGUAUGAAGAGUUGGACAGCACCAGGCCCCGACAUGGUUCACGCCUACUGGCUGAAGAAGCUUACUUCACUCCAUGAGCAUCUGGCACCACAAAUGAACCAGCUGCUAGUUGGCGAGAGACACCCGGAAUGGCUAACCAAAGGCCGGACAGUCCUGAUCCUCAAAGACCACCAGAAGGGACUGGUCCCGGCCAAUACCCUGCCUCAGUACCACAUAGAAGCUCCUUUCAGGCAUCAUAGCGGCUAAGAUGAACAGGUCAGGUCUUUGAUUGAGCUAUGAGCUCCAUGAGGAAAGUCCGGUCAUUCCAUUUGAUGGCGAGCCUUCCAGUGUGAUCUUCAGGAUCCAGAUGUGCACAACCACUCAGACGGGAUGUAAAACAGAUGUCUGAGUCACACUGGAGGAUUUUGUUCAGCUGCUUCACUGAUUCCAGUCACUGUGAGUGUCGAGCACAAUAAUAAACAGCAGAAUCUUCAGUCUUCAGGCUGUUCAUCUGCAGAAACAGCUGUUCUCUGCUGUUGUCUCUGGAGGCAGUAAACUUGCCUUGUACUGACUGAGAGUAGAAGUUGGUGCCACCAUCAGUAUCAGUUGCAAUCCACUCCAGUCCUUUCCCAGGAGCCUGUCUGAUCCAGGACAUCCAGUUGCUACUGAAAGAGAGUCCAGAGGUGGUACAGGUACGGAGUGCUGCUGAGGACAUCUUUAGUUCUGACAAAACUGCUUUGAGAAGAUCCAACAGCUGGAAGUGAUUCUUUCAAGUUCUCAACUCAAGUGUAUUUAUAAAGCACAUAAAACAACUCAUGUUAACCAACAUGCUCUGCGAAAUAUAAAAUGGAUAAAAAACAUGAGGGAAUGGAAAGUAAAAUACAUGUUUGUAGGUGCUAAACAUAUAGUGUCAAUAAAGCCACAAAAGAGACGGUGGGCAAUUCAGACAGUCUCAUAUGCCAAUGAAAAAAAGUUUUGUGAGCCUUGUUUUAAAAGAAUCAGUGGAGGGAGUAGAAUUGACAGUGAGGGGAAUGCUGUUCCACCUGUAUCCGUUCAAAACACUUUCCUGACUUUGGCCAUACUCUGAAUUUUUUCUGUUGCAGCAAACCCAGAUAUGAUAUUUUGGGGUCUUUUCAACAUUUCAUUUAACUCUCCAA